GAGGGGACUACUUUGAAGGGGACAGCACUUAAAAUGCUGUACCAUAAGCAGUAAAGGUGUUAUAGCAAAAGUUCGGUUUCUUUUUGAACACACCUCGUAUGAUCGUCAAUGCAAAAUCGGAAUUAAUAUUGAACUUUUGUAGUUACUUAGGCAUUGAAGGUGUUUAAACAGUUGUACUUAGGCAGUCAAGUGAUCUCAAGUAAUAAAGUGGUAGAGCAACUAAAAUUUGAUCGACGAUGUAGUCACUUUGGCCAUACCUGGCAACCCUGACACAAUAUGAUAAAGCUUUAGAAUGAGUACCACCAUGCAUACUGAACUUGGUGAUUAGGUUGGACUUAAUGGCUGCUUCAUGACACAUUCACACACUAUAGUUGAUGCUGCAUCAGACAUAUUUGAGGCAUUUGCUGCACAACCCUAGAAAAUAAAUUAGCUCGGUGUCCACUAGAAAAGCAGAUCUUGAAGAGCCAGGACUGCUUCUUACUGCUGGCUUCAAAAGAGCUGUACAUAAAGUUGCAAGCACUGUUGCUCUUUCUGGAAUUUGUACACGUAGAAUUUAAGGUUGCAAGACAAAGUACAACACUUAGUCAUUAAACAAGAAUACUCACACAAUAUUUUAAGACUGUUGGCAUUCUGCGCUCGAGUUUUGCGGAACAAGUUUUUACUGUGCGCAGCUGCAACGCACAUUGGCUGCCAUGUUGACACUUCCACGGAUAGUAGUACAGUUCAUUUGCACAUUGUCAAUUGAGAUUUGACCGCAAGUUUUGUCAGUAAGCAGCUGCUUGCAGGUUAAUGAAUGUAAUCGUUCAUACUACAUUAGGAAUCAAACUCAAAACUUCCGCAUGAAAAAGCACCAUCAACCUGGUUGAUAGUCAGUGCUUUGUCUUUCUUUCUUUUGGUCCGGUGUAGUUCUUGCGAGGAAGUUUCAAGUUUGGAUUACCAACAUGCCUAGAUUAGGGUUCUUUAGGAACUAAGUUUGCAACUGGUGGUAGGACAUGGUGACCAUCUUUUUGUAGUCAUGCGUGGCUUGAUACAGUCUUACCUGAAUAAAACAAACAUGGAAAUAACAAAUUAUCAGAUAGUGCAGUAUGUCCAUAUAUGCCUAUGACAAAAGUUGGCUAUACCAAUUGUAUUUUAAUGUUGGAUGCACCUUCGUUUAAUCAGAUGCAACUGUAGUGGUAUCUCUAUGGGCAGAAUCUAGUUCUUGCAAAAUUUUGCAGUUAUUAGAACUGUGCCACAUGGUCCAACGCUUUUCUAGGACUGUUACAUGUUCCUGUGAUUCGUCACACUACCAACCGUUCAUGCGUCCAGGGUUCCUGGUCAACUUACCUUGCUGGGCUUGCUAGAGAUAGCAUGUAUACUUAGGUGCAAUGUCAUGGACUGUAUGACCUGAUGUUCCUUGGAGACUCUGAAGUGCAGAACUUGCGUGCCGGCUAAUCACAGCUAUUGGAUAGUUUUAGCUUGUCUGUUAAUGUAUUGCCCUUUGCAGAACACUAGGUCACCGGAUACGUGGGCAGCUAGGGCAGUGCUAAUAGCACCAGCUGGUGGUGCAAACCUUAACUAGAGAGGACACAGAGCUAUUAUUCUAGCGGCCAACCAUAUUCUACUUAGCUGCUGGCGUCAACUGUUGGCGGUGACAAUCGUUUAACAUGAAACCCUUUAUAGAGUUCUCCGACAAGACCCCUCAUACAACAUAAAACCAUGUUAAACGCAUUGUGGUUGGACAAAACAUCUGGUGUUCCUACCAACGUAGCUACUGCCAUUCACAGAUCUGUUAACCCAGUAAUUCUGUAAAAGGUAAUGCAUCUAUAUGGGUAAACUAAAGCUAUCUACUAACUAGGUCAGCUUGUUUGCAUUGAACAAAAGGAAAUUUAUGUUUGGAUCACAGUCAUAGAUUGCAAAGAUAACCCCCUAACAAUCCUCCCCGAGCAGCGUUUUUUCAUUUGAAAAAAUUGCUCAGUGAAAUUAAGCGCGAGUAUCCAUUGCAGUGGCAUCUUUUUUAGAAAAGCACAAUAUCUUCACGAAUAAAGUGUGCCCACUUGUAUAAAAUGAAUAAAUCUUUAAUGAUAUACAUAUAUAUGACAAGAAAAACAUACUGUCACCCAAAAAUGGUGCCAGCUAGUCCUUUCACAUAACAGUAAAAAAUAAUGCCAGAUUAGAAGAAACGGCACAAGUUCGGGAAAUUGAACACAAGAUAUCCGAGGAAAGGACGUGAAGUUCCAGUGCAGUGUAGAGUAUAAAGAGUUUUCCUAUACACUCUACCCUAGAACCUAGAGCUGAAGAGGCACAUGAGGUUGCUGUACUAUACCAUAUAGACUCUCGUAAGGGCCGCACCCCCAACUUGGCAGCCCAAAAUUUGGAAAAAAAAUAUUCCCAUCCGAGAAGCAAUCACAUUCGGUGCCCCGAUGCCGCACACUGCAUACUUCAGCGUGCCAUUACUAGAUGGCGAGAGCUGCGCGUUGACCUCCGAUGCAGUGGUACAUCCGAGGUGUGCUGUAGUCGCUGGCACCAUUUUGACCAAAAGGUUUUGUUCCAUGUAAAGACUGCACCUCAUAAAAGUGCGGCCCUUACGCAAGUCUAUACAGUAAUUGUAGCACAAACAAUAGCAUAAACUUUAGCACUGUGCUAAAUUGUGCCAUGCUAAAGCCAAAUUGUUUUGCAUGGAUUUAAGCAUUAUGCAGAGUUCUUACUUGAAUUGAUUAUUUUGCACAUACUAUUAAAAAGAUACACGAAUACAAUGUAUGGUGGUGCAUAGUUGAUGGCAUGUUGCUUGUCUAUUUUUUGCCUUGAAAAAGCCUUCCAUAUUCCAAUUCUUUGAAGUGCUUGCAGUCUGUGCUGGUAUGCGGCACAUUAUAUAACGUGCAAGACAUUCCCUGCCGUUGUGUUAUUUUGCACCCUGCAGUAUUAUGCAUGUUUGUUUGUACAUACAUAUAUACACUAUACAGCGAUAUGGUAUAUAUGCACUUUAAAGCACUGUACUUAUUGAAACUACUGUAUAAUAUGGCUCCAUAUUUUUCCCUGUUGCACUACACAUGUACUUAUUGUUACAUUGCACAGCUGUUGCAGAUGAUGUGUGUGCCCAGAAUGAAAAGAAGACAAAGGUAACAGUAAACAGUUGUAUAUUGCUCCGACUGGCAGCGAGGCGAAGUGCUAGCGCAGGGCAAGAGAAUUGUCAUGCGACGUCAUCCCCGCAAAAGUGUCGUUUUGCGAGGAUGUGUGGCCAGGUGUGAACAGCACAGUCCGCGGCAAAAGCUGCCCCGAUUCGAAAAGGCUGGGACGCCACCAGCAGAAUUUGGCAGCAGAAGUCACCACCAUGACGAGGUUGUGAGGUCACGGCUCCACGAGACAGUGCCAAGAUCUGCAAGUGGCAAAAGAAUGUGACAGCCGGUGUUUGCUAUGUCUAGAGCAGAAGUUUCAAGCCUAAGUCUGGUGUCUGGCUGUAGACAUGUCACAUUCUAGGGGGAUGAAGGCUGAAUAAACCUUAGGAAACUUGUAUUAGGAAAUGGAAGAGAUUGAAAAAUUUGAGACAGACACAAGCACUUUGUGGGCUUCAUGUUUGAGACUUCUGGUCUAGAGCUUUGUGCAUGCAUUAUGUUGUUUGUGACACAUUUAUGUAUCUCUGCAUGCUGUAAUUCAUAUACACUAUUAUUUUCCACCCAUAUGAAUAAGCAUUUUUUUUUUUCCAUGCAUGCUGUAGCCGCUAAUAGGCAGGGCAGCUUCUGCCAAAUCCUUCUCAUAUACUGGUCAAGGCUCGUCAUUGUGAUUGACAGCCACAAGUGGCAAUGCGGCUAAAGUGUUGGCAAAUGCAACGAAAAACCUUUCCACCUUUUGUCCAACGAUGUAUUGAAGUAAUUGAUCUGUAUCAUGCGUUCAAGAGCGGUGAGCUGGAGGAAAAUGUUGCCGAAUGGUGAGGAGAUUUUGCUGUACAGAAAUUUACGGAUACAUUUUGACGUACCACACACCAUGCUGCUGCACGCAGCGUUUGUACUUUUGUCCACACAUGUAAAGCAUCUGAAUGAAUGUUAUGAAUAAAAAGUUUACUUUCAAA
rnacentral:lncRNA from 1 species